rnacentral:misc_RNA from 1 species
GGCCAUCUUGCUAGGCCCAACUCUGCACCUUACGACCCGGUGUUUUACAUGCACCAUUCAUAUGUCGAUGCUGUUUAUGAAGCAUUCCGACAAAGGCAAAGACAAAAUGGUAUUAAUCCGGAAACAGAUUAUCCGGUAAAUACUCCCCCUGGGCAUGGAUUUGAUGACCUGAUUGAUUUCCGCCCAUAUAUUAAUCAAAUCACAAAUAGAUAUGCUAUGUCAGAUGCUGUUGCUAACCUCGUCACUUAUGAACCAUUUGCCAACUGUAGGAAUCGGUGUAACGGAAGUCCUCAUUUGUACUGUCAAAACGGUGUUUGCGUGUCGCGCAACCGACCAACAGCUGCCCCAUCUGGUACAUUUGCAUUUGGCGAUAGUGACGGCGCAUUUAGGAGAAAUCAAGAACGAAUGAGAUUCGCCGAGGCUGCCGGACCAAUCCCUGCAGGGGAAAAGUUCCGCACUGCGCCGUUAAGGGAUAUUCGAAACCAAGAGGAUAGAUUAGGAAUAGCCCCAGUGGCUCCAGAAAUCCAGGCCGCCAGUAUGCAAGUCAGAGAAGUUCAAGCUCGAUUCAGGCGCGACGUUUCUCACCUGUCGAAGAACGAAUCAUUGCACCAUGGUAGUCAUCAGUCGAUAAGUUCCAUUGGACGGUCUUAUACCAAUAGUUUUAUACUGGAUGGAGUAGUCGAUCAAAAGCGAUGGGUGUAUGUACCAGUACGUAUUGUGUACACUAGGUCUCCAAAUGUCAAAGGAACCGACCCAACAUUACUUGGAAAUUCCGAACUUCAGAACGACGUUUGCCAAACAGCUCAUUCAGGUGCUUCAAAAGUGUUUGUAGCCUCUGAUGGCCUGGAUUAUUAUGGAAACUACAAAGAGUUUGCCAUCAUAGACGAAAGACAACCAGUGUCUGUCACUACGACAGCAGUCGGGAUCAAGAAUCCAGAAUUCGGGGAAGGAGAAGUGUUGUUCACUUCGUACGAUUCUUGUGGUCGGCCAUGCCGCCCUCUCUGUCUGACGUCAGUCAACGGUCAACAGAAAUACAAGGCUUGUUCUGGAGCCUUCAAGAUCUCCUCUGCUGCUCCCACAAUGUACAGAAACUCGUACAAAGAAGCCAUAUCAGUCAGUCUGUCUUCAUACAAUCUGGUUGAUUCUUCUUUGGAUGACGCUUCACCUCCAGUGACAUUUGUUUGCGGAAAUGAUAAUGCAUGGCCAUGGGUUUAUUAAUUUAACACAAAUGCAUGGUGGCUUGUACAUGUGCAUGUAUAUUAAUGUUUAUAAAUAAAGAUUAGUUGC